GGGAUGACACAGUAGGAUAAGCUAAGCACACUGUUGGUUAUGUGUGCCCAAGCAUUGAGGCAGUCAAAGUAGGCAAAUCCGCUUUGAUAAUGCUGGGAUGUGAUGGGGAGCGAAAUUUAGUAGCGAAGUAGCUGAUUUCACACUGUCAAGAAAAGUCUCUAUCGAGGUUAAAGGUACCCGUACCGCAAACCGACACAGGUGGGUGAGGAGAGUAUCCUAAGGCCAGCGAGAGAACUGUUGUUAAGGAACUCGGCAAAAUGACCCCGUAACUUAGGGAUAAGGGGUGCCACCAUCAGGUGGCCGCAGAGAAUAGGCCCAAGCGACUGUUUACCAAAAACAUAGGUUUCUGCUAAGUCGCAAGACGAUGUAUAGGAGCUGACGCCUGCCCGGUGCUGGAAGGUUAAGGGGAUCUGUUAGAGCAAUCGAAGCAGUGAACUUAAGCCCCAGUAAACGGCGGCCGUAACUAUAACGGUCCUAAGGUAGCGAAAUUCCUUGUCGGGUAAGUUCCGACCCGCACGAAAGGCGUAACGAUUUGGGCACUGUCUCAACAACAGACUCGGUGAAAUUGUAAUUCCGGUGAAGAUGCCGGAUACCUGCGACAGGACGGAAAGACCCCAUGGAGCUUUACUGUAGCUUGACAUUGGGUCUUGGUACUACAUGUACAGGAUAGGUGGGAGGCUUUGAAACCAGGACGCCAGUUUUGGCGGAGCCAUCCUUGGGAUACCACCCUUGUAGUACUGGGACUCUAACCAUAG
rnacentral:rRNA from 1 species